rnacentral:rRNA from 1 species
GAUGAACGCUGGCGGCGUGCCUAAUACAUGCAAGUCGAGCGAACAGACGAGGAGCUUGCUCCUCUGACGUUAGCGGCGGACGGGUGAGUAACACGUGGAUAACCUACCUAUAAGACUGGGAUAACUUCGGGAAACCGGAGCUAAUACCGGAUAAUAUAUUGAACCGCAUGGUUCAAUAGUGAAAGACGGUUUUGCUGUCACUUAUAGAUGGAUCCGCGCCGCAUUAGCUAGUUGGUAAGGUAACGGCUUACCAAGGCAACGAUGCGUAGCCGACCUGAGAGGGUGGUCGGCCACACUGGAACUGAGACACGGUCCAGACUCCUACGGGAGGCAGCAGUAGGGAAUCUUCCGCAAUGGGCGAAAGCCUUACGGAGCAACGCCGCGUGAGUGAUGAAGGUCUUCGGAUCGUAAAACUCUGUUAUUAGGGAAGAACAAAUGUGUAAGUAACUAUGCACGGCUUGACGGUACCUAAUCAGAAAGCCACGGCUAACUACGUG